UAUAUUGAUAAACAUUAUUCUGUGAUUUCAGCAGCGACAAAAUAACCCCCCUCUACAACAGAGGGAAAGCUCCGAAGAUUUCAACAUUUCUGAAGGAACCUGCUGACAGGAAGGAAACACAGAUCCUUCCCUGUUGAUGCCCUGCACCAUAGCAGAGUUGGAGCGGAUAAAAAAGUUCCUGUCGGACCACAUCACUAGAUGCCCGGCAAGGUUACUAGAGGUUACAGCAGCUCCACUUUGGAUCCAGCCUCACUUGUGAAGACUUCAGAUGAUGGAAACUAUAGAUGGACUUACAAAACUAACAGAUAUUAUCCUUAUAUUGUAAUCAUUGGUCCCGUUUCACAGACAGGGCUUAGAUUAAGUCAGGAUUAGGUUUUAGUUAAAUUAGGACUUUUAAGUAGCUUUUUUAAACAUGCUUUAGAAAAAAAAUAACAUUACUGUUGUGCAUCUUGACACAAAACAAUGACACUGACAUAUUUUAAGAUAUGCUUUCAGUUUAAGGGUUAGUUCACUCCAAAAUUACAUUUCUGUCAUUAAUUAUUCACUCUCUUGUCGUUCCAAACCUGUAAGAACUUCACUAAGUUUUCAAUUACCUUUCUGGAUGUCAAAA